AAAAAAAGCGAUUUGGGACGAGCUUCAGAGGACUUUUGAGAUACCAGAUGAUCGUAGACGCUACAUACUUGGUUUGGCCGGCAAAAGAUAUAGAGGGUGGAAAGCUUUUUUGACAAACACCUACCUUAAGGAUAAAGAUGGAAACUUUCUUGAAGAGGCACCGGGACGGCCAAAAAAGUAUGAGAUCUUCAUUGAUGAAGAAGAUUGGGCUGAGUUUGUAAAGCAAAGAGAUGAAGAUUUUCGGAAAAGGAGUGCCACGAAUAGUGCGAGAGCAUCCAAACCCGUGUAUCCAUACAAAAAAGGGCGUUUGGGAUAUGCACGCUUAGAGGAUAAAAUUUUAGAGGAGACUAAAAGUGAGGAAACUUCACUUCCUGUACAUGUGUUGUGGAAGGAAGCUCGUGUGGGCAAGAAUCAAGCUGUCGAUCCCGAUGUUCAGAGAGUUUAUACUGAAUGUGUAAGUAUAAUACUGUGUCUUUAAUUAAAUCAAAUGUUUUUUAAUAUAUAAAUGAUUUUUUAUCUCCACUAAUAAUUAUUGAAA